rnacentral:rRNA from 1 species
UACGUAGGGGGCGAGCGUUAUCCGGAAUUAUUGGGCGUAAAGGGUUCGCAGGUGGUCUAAUAAGUCAGGUGUGAAAGGCAGUGGCUCAACCAUUGUAAGCACUUGAAACUGUUAGACUUGAGUACAGGAGAGGAAAGCGGAAUUCCUAGUGUAGCAGUGAAAUGCGUAGAUAUUAGGAGGAACACCAGUGGCGAAGGCGGCUUUCUGGACUGUAACUGACACUGAGGAACGAAAGCGUGGGGAGCAAACAGG